AAUUAAGUUGAUAGUUCAAGAGUUCAUAUGUUUCCAAAUAUGGUUCAUGUUGGACAAAUUAUGGAAUUAGGGAUUUAAUUGAAUGAAUUCUAAGUUAGAAUUGAUUAAGGGAUUAAAUUGUAAACUAGGCUAUAAGUUUUAUGUUGUAGGGACUAAAUUGAAGAAAUUUCGAAAUUAGGGAAAUAUGCAGGAAAUUUUAUAGUUAAAUAUAAGUUUAGACAAAAUUUGAAUAGAAAAAGAGAGUGAAUUGGAUUAAAAAAAUAAUUAAGUUUAGUUAGGAUUAAAUUGGGAAU
rnacentral:lncRNA from 1 species